AACCAUAAUCUCUAUUAUAACUUAUCUGUAAACAUCACAAAUUUGUCACUUCCAGAUAGACAUCAUUAAAAAGUCAAAUUCACCUAAAAUAACCAACUUACAACAUCAUUCAUUUGGUUUUAUUGGCAUGCGACAUGCCCUGCUGGCUCAGUCAAAACUCAUAUUAUUAACUUAUUAACGUGUCAUUGUCACAAUAUAUAUUAUUAUACAUAACACACAUUCAUUCAUGUUUAAAAUAACAAAAUCGAAACCCACCUAACCCAACAAGGUAUAACAAUUCUCCAUUUUAAAAAGCCUCCAAAAACCAAAACAUUCUCUAUUCUUCUUCCUACUUUAUAUAUUAUUAACCCUCCAUAAUAUUUUCAACCUAUUAUGGAGGGUCUUUUACCUUUGAUUUUAAGAGUAAUCAGAAAAAGCAAAAGUCGCAAGAAAUACGAAUGUCUUUCAACAGGUGCAGCUCUACGUUACAACGAGUUUCCAGGUUUCCAUGGAGAACCAGGCUAUAAUUCAAGGGUUGAUGGUGAUCAAUACGCAGAAAAAAUCAUCGAUUUUCGAAGAUAUAAUUCUAUUUCAGAAUUCACUUCUUCGCCUAAGCAAAUAAACCGUUCUCGUUCUGGUGUUGCUGACUCGAAGGAAUUCGUGACUCAUAAAGGAUUUCCAUGCUCCAGAGGUGUAUCAUGAAUUCUGAUACUUUGAUCCAAAUAAUGUUUUCAUUUUUAAAAUUAUGUUCAAUCAUUCCAUGUGUUUAAAAGAUUGGUGUAUGAUGAAAGUUCAUAUUAAUUGAAAUGAUUUAAUCGUUAAAUUUUGAAGUUGUUCUUUCAUCUAGCUUUACAUCAUUAUUGAUUUUUGAUGAAUGAUUGAAUGGAUUGUAUUUGGUGCAAAUUUGGUUCAUUACAAUCUGUUGUUUUUUUAAUUCACAUAUCAGAAGAGGUUUUGAUUUUAAUGUAUGUCUGAUAUAGGAAAUACUUUAUAAUUGUUUUGUUUGAUUUUUUAAACUAGGAAAUCAACUACCUAAUCUUCUAUUUUGAUUCUCACAAAUAUGAAUUAAGUAAUUUUUAAGUAUUAGAAAUCAUUCUUAUUCUUACUUUCAAAUUUUUCUGAGAAAAAUAAAAAUCUUCUCACACAAUCCGAAUAAAAAGGCAUGUCUUCGUAACACAUGUUUGUUAAAUUGGUUGUGAAGAUGUGAUUUUUAGAGUAUUUUACAAAAUUUUGUUAUGU
rnacentral:lncRNA from 1 species